rnacentral:rRNA from 1 species
GACGAACGCUGGCGGCGUGCUUAACACAUGCAAGUCGAACGGAAACGCCCUGCUUUUGUGGGGUGCUCGAGUGGCGAACGGGUGAGUAACACGUGAGUAACCUGCCCGUGACUUGGGGAUAACUUCAGGAAACUGGAGCUAAUACCGGAUAGGAGCACCUGCUGCAUGAUGGGGGUUGGAAAGUUGCGGCGGUUGGGGUAGGACCCGCGGCUUAUCAGUUUUUUUGUGCGGUAGUGGCGUACCAAUGACUUGACGGGUAGCCGGCCUGGUAGGGUGACUGGCCACAUAGGGAUUGAGAUACGGCCAAGACUCAUACGUGAGGCAGCAGUGGGGAAUAUAGCACAAUGCGCGGAGGCCUGAUGCAACAACGCCGCGUGCGGGAUGACGGCCUUCAGGUUGUAAACCGCUUUCGCCUGUGACGAAGAGUGAGUGACGGUAAUGGGCAAAGAAGCACCGGCUAACUACGUG